rnacentral:lncRNA from 1 species
AGGGUGUUUCGAUUUUCGCAUCCGAUGAGGUUCUUCCCGAUUUUUGUUCGAUGUGAUUUUUUCACUGUUGUGAUCACUAUUUCCUUCUCUACAUGUUAAGCAGAGCAAAAUACCCAACAACAACGUGAGCCAGAGAAGCCGCCGCACUAGAGAGCUCCACCGCCGGUGAGUUUCGAUUUUCUACGUUUUUUGGCCCAUCGAU